UACGAGGUGGUGCAUGGUUGUCGUCAGCUCGUGUCGUGAGAUGUUGGGUUAAGUCCCCGCAACGAGCGCAACCCUCGACCUUAGUUGCCAGCAUUCAGUUGGGCACUCUAAGGUGACUGCCGGCUAAAAGUCGGAGGAAGGUGGGGAUGACGUCAAAUCAUCAUGCCCCUUAUGACCUGGGCUACACACGUGCUACAAUGGGCGGUACAAAGGGUCGCGAACCCGCGAGGGGGAGCCAAUCCCAAAAAGCCGCUCUCAGUUCGGAUUGCAGGCUGCAACUCGCCUGCAUGAAGCCGGAAUCGCUAGUAAUCGCGGAUCAGCAUGCCGCGGUGAAUACGUUCCCGGGCCUU
rnacentral:rRNA from 1 species